AACGAACGCUGGCGGCAUGCCUAACACAUGCAAGUCGAACGAGACCUUCGUGUCUAGUGGCGCAGGGCUACGUACCGCGUGGGAACCUGCCCUUAGGUUAGGUAUCAUUCCCCGAAAGGGGUGCUAAUACCGGUUAAUGUCUUAGCACCAAAGAUUUUUCGCCUUUGGAUGGGGCCGGGUUGGAUUAGCUAGUUGGUAGGGUAAAAGCCAACCAAGGCGACGAUCCAUAGCUGGUCUGAGAGGAUGAUAAGCUGCACUGGGACUGAGACACGGCCCAGACUGGUACGGGGGAGAGCAGUAGGGAAUAUUGGGGACUGGGCGAAAGCCUGGUACAGCAAUGCCGCGGGAGUGAGGCAGGGCUUAGGGUUGUAAAUCUCCUUUACCCGAGAUGAUAAUGACAGUACCGGGUGAAUAAGCUCCGGCUAACUCCGUG
rnacentral:rRNA from 1 species